GGGAGAGGAAACCAGGAGAACUCAGUGGGUCACGAGGCUGAUGAAGCUUUUUAAUCAAAUAUUUUGGCUAUCACAAGAAUUUUAAUCACCCAGUUAGGAAAAUUUGGGGGUUUUUUUUUGCUGCCUGGAGCCUGUGGGGCUGGAGCAGGGCUGGAGAGCUCCGGGCCCAUCCAGCAGCAGAGGGUGCUCACGCACUGCUGUGCAAAUCCUCCUUCUCCCUCAGCCAUUUUAGGGAAUUAUUUCCUUUCCCUGCAGUCUCCAUUUUAUGUUCCUGACGCAGAAAAUAAAAAAGGGUGCUAUUUUUACCCACUUCAGAUGCACUCAGGCUGCCCUCUGGGAUGGAUGAUGAUUCUGGCCUUGCUGAUUCAUCCAGCCCUGGCUGAGGAUCUUUCUGGAAGCAUCUCCCGUGCCCAGGUGUGUGUAACCUGUCUGGAGUUGGCACCUUGAGAUUCUCCUUCCUCCUCCUCAACUCCUGGAGAUCUUUAUAAAUCCAUUCCUGGCCCUGAUAUUGGACCAGGCUGAGAUCCCCUAACGAGGGCAGGGUUAGGCUUUUAGGAAGGUUAGGCUGGAUUUUAGGAAGGUUAGAUUGGAUUUUAGGAAAGUUGGAUUAGAUUUUAGGAAAGUUGGAUUAGAUUUUA
rnacentral:lncRNA from 1 species